GAUGAACGCUAGCGACAGGCCUAACACAUGCAAGUCGAGGGGCAGCACGGUGUAGCAAUACACGGGUGGCGACCGGCGCACGGGUGAGUAACGCGUAUGCAACCUGCCUACUACAAGGGGAUAACCCGUUGAAAGACGGACUAAUACCCCUAUAACACAGGGAAUCCGCAUGGAUAUAUUUGUUAAAGAUUUAUCGGUAGUAGAUGGGCAUGCGUUCCAUUAGCUUGUUGGUGAGGUAACGGCUCACCAAGGCAACGAUGGAUAGGGGAACUGAGAGGUUGAUCCCCCCACACUGGAACUGAGACACGGUCCAGACUCCUACGGGAGGCAGCAGUGAGGAAUAUUGGUCAAUGGACGAGAGUCUGAACCAGCCAAGUCGCGUGAAGGAAGACGGCCCUACGGGUUGUAAACUUCUUUUGUAAGGGAAUAAAUAGUCUUACGCGCUAAGACGUUGCAGGUACCUUACGAAUAAGGAUCGGCUAACUCCGUGCCAGCAGCCGCGGUAAUAGUCACG
rnacentral:rRNA from 1 species